AACGCGUGGCGGCGUGCCUAACACAUGCAAGUCGAGCGAGGAGAUCCUUCGGGAUGAUCCUAGCGGCGGACGGGUGAGUAACACGUGGGCAACCUGCCUCAUAGAGAGGAAUAGCCUUCCGAAAGGGAGAUUAAUACCUCAUAACAUUGCAGUUUCGCAUGGAACAGCAAUUAAAGGAGCAAUCCGCUAUGAGAUGGGCCCGCGGCGCAUUAGCUAGUUGGUGAGGUAACGGCUCACCAAGGCGACGAUGCGUAGCCGACCUGAGAGGGUGAUCGGCCACAUUGGGACUGAGACACGGCCCAGACUCCUACGGGAGGCAGCAGUGGGGAAUAUUGCACAAUGGGGGAAACCCUGAUGCAAGCAACGCCGCGUGAGUGAUGACGGCCUUCGGGUUGUAAAGCUCUGUCUUCAGGGACGAUAAUGACGGUACCUGAGGAGGAAGCCACGGCUAACUACGUGCCAGCAGCCGC
rnacentral:rRNA from 1 species